AGUGAACGCUGGCGGUAGGCCUAACACAUGCAAGUCGAACGGCAGCACAGUAAGAGCUUGCUCUUACGGGUGGCGAGUGGCGGACGGGUGAGGAAUACAUCGGAAUCUACUUUUUCGUGGGGGAUAACGUAGGGAAACUUACGCUAAUACCGCAUACGACCUACGGGUGAAAGCAGGGGAUCUUCGGACCUUGCGCGAUUGAAUGAGCCGAUGUCGGAUUAGCUAGUUGGCGGGGUAAAGGCCCACCAAGGCGACGAUCCGUAGCUGGUCUGAGAGGAUGAUCGGCCACACUGGAACUGGGACACGGUCCAGACUCCUACGGGAGGCAGCAGUGGGGAAUAUUGGACAAUGGGCGCAAGCCUGAUCCAGCCAUACCGCGUGGGUGAAGAAGGCCUUCGGGUUGUAAAGCCCUUUUGUUGGGAAAGAGAAGCAGCAGGUUAAUACCCCGCUGUUCUGACGGUACCCAAAGAAUAAGCACCGGCUAACUUCGUG
rnacentral:rRNA from 1 species